UACGAAGGGGGCUAGCGUUGCUCGGAAUCACUGGGCGUAAAGCGCACGUAGGCGGAUUGCUAAGUCAGGGGUGAAAUCCUGGAGCUCAACUCCAGAACUGCCCUUGAUACUGGCGGUCUCGAGUCCGGGAGAGGUGAGUGGAACUGCGAGUGUAGAGGUGAAAUUCGUAGAUAUUCGCAAGAACACCAGUGGCGAAGGCGGCUCACUAGCCCGGUACUGACGCUGAGGUGCGAAAGCGUGGGGAGCAAACAGG
rnacentral:rRNA from 1 species